AGGGCGUAAGUGUUACACGUCUCACUUGCUCUGAGAAAAAGCCUUCAGGCACGCCUUA
rnacentral:tRNA from 1 species